UCAACAUGCAUUUUCACAUUCUAUUUCUUUGAAGUUCAGUUCAAGUCCAAGUCGUUAAUACGUCCUCUCUCUUCAAUCAAUCCUUAAACCCUAAUUUCAAUUUCAUACAUCUCUGCCUGUUCCGUCGCUGAUUAUCUUCAAAUCAAGGUUUUGUGUCGAUUUCUCUCUAAAAUUAAGUAUGUCUCUGUAUUCGGUCUAGGGCCUUUAUAAACAACAUUGGUGAAAAUGGAAAUUGGCUUUGGCAAAGAUGAUUGCUAUACAAGCCGGGAAAGGAAUAAGAGCUCCGGUGAACACUCCGAAAAGGUAAUCAAUUGCUAUUGUUCGUGUCGUUUUCCUUCUGAAUGAACACUCCGAAAAGGUAUCUAUUUUUGUUUAUGUGUUGUAUUUUACUAAACAAUGGAUCUCUUUUUAUUUACUUUAUCAAUGUUUUUUGAGAUCGUAGAGAUAAAAUAACUAAUUUGGCCUCCAAACCCGAUAUAUCGAACUAAAAUUAAACAUGUUCUUUAACUGAAGACAAGCCCUAGAUCCAUAUAAGGUUUAGGAAGGUAGGCUAUUAUCUAUGUUGGUUAAUUUCAACACAUUUAUGGGAAAGUAUGCAAAGAUGGUUGUUCUGCACAAGUGCUUAUCUUGGAAUAUAUGUAAACAUAAUUUUUGCUCCAGAUGAUGCACUUUAUGUUAGUCUUAGGACUCAGUUUGUUUAAUCUGGAAAUGUGGGCAUUUGGUACAAAGUCAAAAUAUGUUUUUGUUGAAAUGGAUUGCUUACAUGUUUACUUGAAUCCAUGCAGAAACCAAGAAAAAUGGUGGCAAAAAUACCCACUAUUCCUCUGAGCACACCAGCUUUAAAACCAACAAAAAGUUGUUUAAACGCUCCUCAGUGCAUUCAAAUAUACAUAACUAUAGGAGCUCAUGAGUAUGACCAUCGCGUUGGUUUCAUGUAUCAGCAAAAGACCGAGUUUUUUGGGUUCUCUAAAGUUAUGUAUAGUGUUUUUUAUUCGGAAAGAGUACGGGUAAUUGUAGCAAUAAUGGUGAUAGCAGUGGAGGUGUUGAAGCUUAGAAGCUGAAGUAGAGAUAU